UUUCAUCGCUGCAUUGGUAAAUAGAGGAUCCAGCUAUAAACAUACUAACCUCUGCAUCAUUUUCUUGCUUAACCUACUGGAAGAGCCACCUGGACCUGAGAAACCUUCCUAUCAAAGGUUUCAUCAAAAUCAAUACAUUUACAUGAUACAUUUCAGCUUUGACAAAACAGCAGUUUUCGAUGAAGAAACUCUUUGUUUAAAGUAUCAGUAUGGAAAAGCGAUAGGGUAAUUUCUUACUGGAUUCUGUUGAGAGCUCCUAAGGAAAACCAGAUUCAGAAGAGCCCUUUUCCUGAGAUCAAUGGA